UCGUACGAAUAUUCCCCGACAGUACGAAUAUUCCACGACCAAACGAAUAUUCCCCGACAACAAUGAAUAUUUUAUAACCACUUGCUUAUUUUGAAAUAUUUGCGUAUUUUACCCAUAAUUAUCCACAUUAAUCACAUCAACCCUUACUAUUUCAAAAUAAUAAUUAGAGGAAAUUAAAUUUCAUUUAUUAAUUAUUUGGGG
rnacentral:lncRNA from 1 species